rnacentral:rRNA from 1 species
GGCGCAAGGGUGCGUAACACGUGGGUAAUUUGCCGCGAAGUUGGGGAUAACUCGCUGAAAGGCGAGCUAAUACCGGAUUGUGAUCACUUGGUGGCAUCAUUGGGUGAUUAAAGUUGGGGACCCGCAAGGGCCUGACGCUUCGCGAUAAGCCCGCGGCCUAUCAGCUAGUUGGUUGAGGUAACGGCUCACCAAGGCUAAGACGGGUAGCUGGUCUGAGAGGACGACCAGCCACACUGGAACUGAGAGACGGUCCAGACACCUACGGGUGGCAGCAGUCGAGAAUUUUUCACAAUGGGCGCAAGCCUGAUGGAGCGACGCCGGUGGGGGAUGAAGGGCUUCGGCUCGUAAACCCCUGUCAUUUGCGAACAAACCUUGAAGGUCAAUAGCCUUUAAGCUGAUUGUAGCGAAAGAGGAAGGGACGGCUAACUCUGUGCCAGCCGCCGCGG